AUACGGAGGGUGCAAGCGUUACUCGGAAUCACUGGGCGUAAAGGAUGCGUAGGCGGAUAAUCAAGUCAAAAGUGAAACCCUACAGCUUAACUGUAGAACUGCUUUCGAAACUGGUUAUCUAGAAUAUGGAAGAGGCAGAUGGAAUUAGUGGUGUAGGGGUAAAAUCCGUAGAGAUCACUAGGAAUACCGAUUGCGAAGGCGAUCUGCUGGGACAUUAUUGACGCUGAGGCAUGAAAGCGUGGGGAGCAAACAGGAUUAGAAACCCUAGUAGUCC
rnacentral:rRNA from 1 species